rnacentral:rRNA from 1 species
GAGUUUGAUCCUGGCUCAGCCUGAACGCUGGCGGCGUGGCUAAGACAUGCAAGUCGAACGGAUGUAGCAAUACAUCAGUGGCGGACGGGUGAGUAAUGUAUCGCUAAUGUGCCCUAGAGCCUGGGAUAGCCAUCCGAAAGGGUGGGUAAUACCAGAUGAAAUAACUUGAUCGCAUGAUCGAGUUCUCAAAGCAGCAAUGCACUCCUGGAGCAGGCGAUAUCGUAUCAGCUAGUUGGUGAGGUAACGGCCCACCAAGGCGACGACGGGUAGCCGGCCUGAGAGGGCGACCGGCCACACUGGGACUGAGACACGGCCCAGACUCCUACGGGAGGCAGCAGUGGGGAAUAUUGCGCAAUGGGCGAAAGCCUGACGCAGCGACGCCGCGUGAGGGAUGAAGGCCUUCGGGUUGUAAACCUCUUUCAGCAGGGACGAAAACAGACGGUACCUGCAGAAGAAGCACCGGCCAACUACGUGCCAGCAGCCGCGGUACUACGUAGGGUGCAAGCGUUGUCCGGAAUUAUUGGGCGUAAAGAGCUCGUAGGCGGUCUGUCGCGUCGGCUGUGAAAACUCGGGGCUCAACCCCGAGCCUGCAGUCGAUACGGGCAGACUAGAGUGCGGUAGGGGAGACUGGAAUUCCUGGUGUAGCGGUGAAAUGCGCAGAUAUCAGGAGGAACACCGGUGGCGAAGGCGGGACUCUGGGCCGAUAUUGACGCUGAGGAGCGAAAGCGUGGGGAGCGAACAGGAUUAGAUACCCUGGUAGUCCACGCCGUAAACGUUGGGCGCUAGGUGUGGGGAACCUUCCACGUUCUCCGUGCCGCAGCUAACGCAUUAAGCGCCCCGCCUGGGGAGUACGGCCGCAAGGCUAAAACUCAAAGGAAUUGACGGGGGCCCGCACAAGCGGCGGAGCAUGCGGCUUAAUUCGACGCAACGCGAAGAACCUUACCAAGGCUUGACAUAUAGGGAAAUCUCACAGAGAUGUGGGGUCCGCAAGGGCCCUAUACAGGUGGUGCAUGGUUGUCGUCAGCUCGUGUCGUGAGAUGUUGGGUUAAGUCCCGCAACGAGCGCAACCCUCGUCUAAUGUUGCCAGCACGUAAUGGUGGGGACUCAUUAGAGACUGCCGGGGUCAACUCGGAGGAAGGUGGGGAUGACGUCAAAUCAUCAUGCCCCUUAUGUCUUGGGCUGCACGCAUGCUACAAUGGCCGGUACAAAGGGCUGCGAUACCGCGAGGUGGAGCGAAUCCCAAAAAGCCGGUCUCAGUUCGGAUUGGGGUCUGCAACUCGACCCCAUGAAGUCGGAGUCGCUAGUAAUCGCAGAUCAGCAACGCUGCGGUGAUACGUUCCCGGGCAUUGCACACAC